UGUGCAGGGUCUUCUGUUGGAACAUAAACCUAAUGAGGCAGCAACCGUCAUUCAGGCCCUAAAUGAGACUCUGCCUGAUGCUAAAAAGUCAGGCAUGAAGGACGAACUUCAGAAGCUUGUAUCUGAGUGGCCUUUGGAAGUUAUAAAGCACCAAAAAGAAGAGGACAGGAAGGCAUUAGCAGCCUCCUUGAAAUCUGAUAUUCUUGCCAUGGUUGAUUUACUAAGCACGGGACUGGAGGCAAGCAUAAACUUGGAAGACCUGAACAGAAAAGAUGGAAUCCUUCUAUAACACGAGCUCAGAACUUGAUGAUGCCCUUGCCUUGGAAUGAGAUGCACACAAGGAUUAAUCAGUGGCCCUAGUUAGAUAGAUACUGAAACACUUACCUUAGCAUUUCUUGUUCGUCAAAACUAUGAAAUAUAUUUAUUUUAUGCGUGUCCUUCCCUUCCAUUUCUUUAUGCCUCUCAAAGUGGUGUGUAAUUUUGCAAACAUGUCAAUGCAAUUUAGUUCUUUAACGACUGAAAUUUUGUUGUCACUAGAUUAUGUUGUAUAAAUAAUGUGGAAGGUCUCAUCUUGGGCGCAUGCAAAAAUGUUCUUCAGUAGGGCUGACAUGGAACAAAAAUUGAUGUUCUGUUUCUGGUUACUGUGCAUUUGAGUUUA